AUAGCAGUCAAUAAAUAUGGAUUUUUCAGAAACAAAUGUAUUUCCAGGCUUCAAACAGCGAAUGGACCGGUUGCCGACUUAAAAGAUAUUCUCGUGGAAGAAAGGUUGUUUACCUCGAUCUAUAUGCAUCUAGUGAUAAACAAGAUUUUCCAGGUGAAUUCAUUAAUCAAGUUGAUUAACCUAAACUGGAUAUCAAAGACAUUUUUCUUGAGGUGAUCUAAUUUCAGAGAAAGAGUGCUAUGAAACUAUUACAACUUUAAAAAAUGAUAAGUCAUCGGGAUCGGAUGGACUUCCCAUAGAGUUAUAUAAAAUAUUCUGGUAUAUCAAAGACUUGUUAUGUUCGGUUUACAAUUCCUUUUUGCUUUAUAUUAUUUGUUGUGACAGUGCACUUCAAUUACUUUUAUCACUCAAGUCAUUUGUUUAUUGUACAAUUGAUGCAUGACAUGAAUAAAUAUAUAUUUGUAAUAGCACUUCCUCAGGCAAUGUGCCUAGUAUAGCGCCAUCUAUUGCUAUUCACUUGAUAUUAAACACUCAAAAGUCUACAUGAACAUGGUUGUGUUGAGGUUCAAGGAUCUCCUUUUUGCCAGCGCAUCGUGGGGAUUUCAUUCAUAAUAUUGUCAUUAAGUCAGGCAAAGAGCAUGGUGAAAAUGAAAUCAGGGGAUGCCAAAGAAAAAGAUGGAGAGAUGAGCUGCAACACAAUACUGGGAAUGGCUAAUUGGUACCAACAGGCACUGAACAGAGUCAUUUGGAGACAGCAUGCUGAGGCCUUCAUUCUGCAGUGGAUCGAUAAUGGCUGAAAAAGUAAAUAAAGCCGUUGCAAUUAGCGAGCGGAAGAACGGAUCCAGACUCCACUACGAGAUGAAAUUCCUCCAGUACGCCCAGUCCAAUCAGUGCAAGCUUCAAAGCGAUAGUUCAGUCAGCUUAGAGUACCUCUUUAUGUAGGUACUCUAAGUCAGCUAUGCGGCUACUGCCCUCACCAUGAGCUUUUACAACUUCAGUCUGUGUUACGCCCUCUGUAUGUCCGUAUUUAAGCUCUGAACCCUGUUUCAGAAAGUAUGGUCUUUUUGUACAAACUUCAUGAAUGAUGCUCUAUAGACUCUUUUGCCACUCACAAUGGCUAUACCCUAGUCACUCCAACAAGACCGACACCAGACCUUCAACAGACAGAACAAAAAAUAUCUGUAACCCGAGUGGCCACCAAGUGGUCAGUUUGGAGUUUUGUGUAGUGACUGAGGUUUACAUGUUGAUGGAAAUGUCACGCUGAGCUCAAAAAA